rnacentral:rRNA from 1 species
CCUGAUUUCCAUACCAUGCUGAAGGUACCGGUUCUCGUCCGAUCACCGAAGUCAUAGUAGCAUCGGGCUUGGUCAGUACUUGGGAGGGUGACCUCAUUACAUUAUCUCAACGUUGGUGGUUACUC